GGAGUAUUAGUUAGCUAGGAAAUUACUUAUGCUAAUGUGCAUUGUUUGUUUUAUUUGGUACUUGCAGGUCGUUGUAGACUUUGCUCUAUCAAAGGAGCCAGUAUUUGAUGGAAGGAAGACAGUUCCCAGGAUGCAACCUAUGGAUAGAUGCAUCUUGACUGCGUGUCCACCAAGUUCACAAAGAAGAGUCAUAAAUCCUCCAACGAGUCGUCCUGGCGACCACGCACUGGCACUGCCCCUCGACUGUGCAGCCUAAUCCAACAAGUUCAAGCACUAUUGAUUUGUGGUGGUGUUGCGCCAUCAGAUUUCUUAGGCAGUGCAACUACGCAUGUAAGCAUGUAGACGCAUGGUGUUCUAUGCCAUUUGCUCAUAUAUAUACAAUACAAUUACUCGGUUAGAAGGAAUACUUGAAGCAUCUGUUUUAACUAACUAUACUAUAAGACAAAGUUCACUAUAGGUAGCAUUUUACUCGUGAUUCAUCCUAUCAUCCUUAGAUAUAUAAAUUAAGCCGCACACAAAUUAUUUUGUAACGGAGGAACAUGUUAAUAUUUUUUUUUGAAAUGAGGAACAUGUUAAUUUUAACUGUACUACAGGCGACCGAUGCUAUGCCGCUUCAGCUUCCUCCUAAAGAUAUUCAUAUUUUAUUUGUAAAAGACGAAGGUGCCAACAGCAUGACGUUUCUAUUAUGUUUCAGGAGAAAUUUGGAUCUUUUUGAACAGUUAUUGCAGCCAACUUUUUGAAUGAGUAUAACAACUAUGAUAUGAGGUAAGGUAAUCCGUUAUAUUCCUCUUUGGUAAUAGUUGAACAUGGGCUACUUGAGGCUGCAUGCUAAAUUAUUAUUGGCAACAACUUUAUUGUUGGUUUACUGAUUAUCACAAGCAUCUCCAUUUUUCAGUCAAAGACAUCCGAUUUUUUUACUGUUGUUCUUUAGCAUACUAAUAACUUUGUUUUCUUUAUUUUCACCUGAUUUUCAUUGGUUGAUUCAUGUGUAUAGUUCAAUGAGGAAUGGAAUUGCGAUAAAAGGAUUAUUGAAAAGCUGGAAACCAGUCCCAGAAAAUUACUCUGGCAAGAGAAAGAAGCCAAUAUUCGGCGUGAUCUGUUCGAUCUACUAUAAGUAAUUUGGUCUUGUGUUGUGCAGACCAUCUAUUUUUGUUGUUGUAUACAUUCUAUUGCUAAUAUGUGCAGCUAGACCAUGUCCAAGUGAUCUUUUGAUUUGCUGUCUCGUAUAAUUGAAAAAUGAGAAUGAAGUGGACGACAACUGUGUAGACACGAGGCAUAGCUGAUUUAUGCAAUGCUUCUUGUCACAGUAGCCAUUGCCUUGCCAUCAUACAUAGUGAGAGGAGACCAAGAGAGUACAUCAGUACAUCAUAAGCCAUUGCCUUGCCAUGAAAUAUUUAAAACUUGCAGACUACGUGUUCAUAUGACAGUGUCCGCAAAUAGAUAGAUUAAUUUCUGUAAGUAUACUUCUCCUUCUAUCAAAUUCUGAAUAAUUAUACCACCUUCUGUGUGGAGUGUCUUG
rnacentral:lncRNA from 1 species